GAGAGGUGCUAGUAGUUAUAGAGAGGUGCUAGUAGUUAUAGAGAGGUGCUAGUAGUUAUAGAGAGGUGCUAGGAGUUAUAGAGAGGUGCUAGGAGUUAUAGAGAGGUGCUAGUAGUUAUAGAGAGUUGCUAGUAGUUAUAGAGAGGUGCUAGGAGUUAUAGAGAAGUGCUAGGAGUUAUAGAGAGGUGCUAGUAGUUAUA